rnacentral:rRNA from 1 species
GACGAACGCUGGCGGCGUGCUUAACACAUGCAAGUCGUACGGUAAGGCCCUUUCGGGGGUACACGAGUGGCGAACGGGUGAGUAACACGUGAGUAACCUGCCCACAACUUUGGGAUAACGCUAGGAAACUGGUGCUAAUACUGGAUAUGUGCUCCUGCUGCAUGGUGGGGGUUGGAAAGCUCCGGCGGUUGUGGAUGGACUCGCGGCCUAUCAGCUUGUUGGUGGGGUAGUGGCCUACCAAGGCGGCGACGGGUAGCCGGCCUGAGAGGGUGACCGGCCACAUUGGGACUGAGAUACGGCCCAGACGCCUACGGGAGGCAGCAGUGGGGAAUAUUGCACAAGGGGCGCAAGCCUGAUGCAGCAACGCCGCGUGCGGGAUGACGGCCUUCGGGUUGUAAACCGCUUUCAGCAGGGACGAAGCUUUUUGUGACGGUACCUGCGGAAGAAGCACCGGCUAACUACGUG